rnacentral:rRNA from 1 species
UGGGGAAUAUUGGACAAUGGGCGCAAGCCUGAUCCAGCAAUGCCGCGUGUGUGAAGAAGGCCUGUGGGUUGUAAAGCACUUUCAGGGGGGAGGAAUGGCACGUAAGUGUCUUGACGUUACCCUCAGAAGAAGCACCGGCUAACUCUGUGCCAGCAGCCGCGGUAAUACAGAGGGUGCGAGCGUUAAUCGGAAUGACUGGGCGUAAAGCGCGCGUAGGCGGUUAUACAAGUUGGGUGUGAAAUCCCUGGGCUUAACCUAGGAAUUGCAUUCAAAACUAUAUGACUUGAGUGAAGUAGAGGUAAGUGGAAUUUCCGGAGUAGCGGUGAAAUGCGUAGAUACCGGAAGGAACACCAGUGGCGAAGGCGACUUACUGGGCUUUAACUGACGCUGAGGUGCGAAA